rnacentral:rRNA from 1 species
AUUGAACGCUGGCGGCAGGCCUAACACAUGCAAGUCGAACUAAUGGCGGACGGGUGCGUACUGUCUGGGAAACUGCCCGAUGGAGGGUGAUAACUACUGUACACGGUAGCUAAUACCGCAUACCAUCGGAUGUGCCCAGAUGGGAGUAGCUAGUAGGUGGGGUGACGGUUCCCCUAGGAGACGCCCCCUAGCUGGUCUGAGAGGAUGCACAGUCACACGGGAACUUAGACACGGUCCAGACUCCUACGGGAGGAAGCAGUGGGGAAUAUUGCACAAUGGGCUAAAGCCUGAUGCAGCCAUGCCGCGUGUAUGAAGAAGGCCUUCGGGUUGUAAAGUACUUUCAGCGAGGAGGCGUUACUCGCAGAAGAAGCACCGGCUAACUCCGUGCCAGCAGCCGCGGUAAUAC